CACGUAGGGUGCGAGCGUUGUCCGGAAUUAUUGGGCGUAAAGAGCUCGUAGGCGGUGUGUCGCGUCGGCCGUGAAAACCUGCAGCUUAACUGUGGGCUUGCGGUCGAUACGGGCAUCACUGGAGUUCGGCAGGGGAGACUGGAAUUCCUGGUGUAGCGGUGAAAUGCGCAGAUAUCAGGAGGAACACCGAGUGGCGAAGGCAGGUCUCUGGGCCAUAAACUGACGCUGGAGAAGCGGAAAGCAUGGGGAGCGAACAGG
rnacentral:rRNA from 1 species